CACGCUGUAAACGAUGAAUACUAGGUGUGCGGGGACUGACCCCCUGCGUGCCGCAGUUAACACAAUAAGUAUUCCACCUGGGGAGUACGAUCGCAAGGUUGAAACUCAAAGGAAUUGACGGGGGCCCGCACAAGCGGUGGAGUAUGUGGUUUAAUUCGACGCAACGCGAAGAACCUUACCAAGGCUUGACAUUGAGUGAAAGGCUAAGAGAUUAGCCCCUCUCUUCGGAGACACGAAAACAGGUGG
rnacentral:rRNA from 1 species